rnacentral:lncRNA from 1 species
CUCCCGCGGCAUAUGGAGGUUCCCAGGCUAGGGGUUGAAUCGGAGCCGUAGCCACCGGCCUACGCCAGAGCCACAGCAAUGCGGGAUCCGAGCCGCAUCUGCAACCCACACCACAGCUCACGGCAACGCCGGAUCGUUAACCCACUGAGCAAGGGCAGGGACCGAACCCGAAACCUCAUGGUUCCUAGUCAGAUUCGUUAACCACUGCGCCACGACGGGAACUCCAAGAUUCUGAGCACAUUAAGUACCUUUAUUCAUUGAAUCCUUAAAACUAGUCCAUAAAGUAGGUUGUAUUUUCAGUAACACAUUCAAAGUUAGACUGUAAACCAGGGUUCAAACCCAGGCAGCCUGGUUCUAGAAUUAGUGUUUUUCACACCACAUUGAGUUGCCUCAUAAGGGAAGAUUAUAAAAGAAAAAUUUAAAAAGCCAUCAGAUAAUUGCCUGCAAAUUGAAGAGAUCUCAGGAAGGAAAUAAGGCUCUACUUUUGGAGAGUUCCCCAAAGACAGAUAAUAAGUCUUCUGGCCCACAAACAGGCACGCUAAUGAACUCAGUAAUGGCCUAAUUUAGGCUUUCACCAAGGCAGUAGGAAGAUGAGAGAGGUCAGGUCUGGCAACAAUACAGGGAGUCACAUUCAGAAAUGUAAGUGGAAAGAAAAGAAGUUUCCUAUCUCUGGUCUUGAGAAAAGCCACACCCAUUUCGUUUAAGGUCAAGUCCUCACCUCUAGGGUUGGCUUUGUGUCACCUCUCUUUACCCUGCCAGGAAAGCCGGACUUCUCUUAUUUUCCCCAGGGCAAUCUAAACCAGAGGGGGAGUGGAGUAAAAUGCUUUUUUGGUCUUUGGAACCCAACAGACCUGGGUUCAAAUUUUUCUGUCUGCGCUUACUUGAGGACUUAUAACCUAGCCACUGGUAAACCCUAUUAUUUACUUGUCUGUAAGAUGGAACUUUUGGUAGCACCCACCUCAGGUGACAAAGGAUAAUCCAGCAGAGCUGUUUGCACAGUGCGUGGCACUCAGUAAGAGCUUGGCCUGGGUUUUAGAAGCAACACUCCCAAAUGCUUCCAUUUCUAGUCUGGUCCAAUCAGAGACUCCACUCUCCUGCCUCCUGCUAGAGUCAUCCCUCUGAACUGAGCCACACGCCAUCACUCCUCUGCUCACAGACCCUCAGUAGCUCCCAGGACUUCGAAAAGAACAUUUCAACUCUUUCUGCUGACAAUCGAUUUGCUGCACCUCCCCCUCCAGCUGCCUGCACUCCUAGUGCCCUCUCACAUCCUGGGCUUCAGCAGCACUGAAAUGCCCGCUGCACCGCACGCCUGCCCCGUG